rnacentral:misc_RNA from 1 species
GAUGAAGAACGUAGCGAAAUGCGAUAAGUAAUGUGAAUUGCAGAAUUCAGUGAAUCAUCGAAUCUUUGAACGCAUCUUGCGCUCCUUGGUAUUCCUUGGAGCAUGCCUGUUUGAGUAUCAUGAGCAAAUCUCAAAGUCAAUUCCUUUUGUUAAUUCAAUUUGGUUUUGCUUUGGACUUGGAGGUCUUGCAGAUUUCACAGUCUGCUCCUCUUAAAUGCAUUAGCUGGAUCUCAGUAAUUAUGCUUGGUUCCACUCGGCGUGAUAAGUAUCACUCGCUGAGGACACUGUUAAAAAGGUGGCCAGGAAAAUACUGAUCGAACCGCUUCUAACGGUCUAUUAAGUUAGACAAUUACCCUUAAGUUUGAUCUCAAAUCAGGUAGGACUACCCGCUGAACUUAAGCAUAUCAAUAAGCGGAGGA